AGCACUGUGUGGUAUCUGCACCCAGUGGCUCCCUCCACUGGUCUGUUCAAAAGUCAGUGCGAUAUCAACCCAACAUCUGGCAUCGUUGGUCUCCUUACUGCUGGUGUUUGGAGUCCUGGUAUUUUUGUUGAAACACAC
ensembl:snoRNA small nucleolar RNA SNORA8